rnacentral:rRNA from 1 species
GACGAACGCUGGCGGCGCGCCUAACACAUGCAAGUCGAACGAGCGAGAGAGAGCUUGCUUUCUUGAGCGAGUGGCGAACGGGUGAGUAACGCGUGAGGAACCUGCCUCAAAGAGGGGGACAACAGUUGGAAACGACUGCUAAUACCGCAUAAGCCCACGGUGCCGCAUGGCACAGAGGGAAAAGGAGCAAUCCGCUUUGAGAUGGCCUCGCGUCCGAUUAGCUAGUUGGUGAGGUAACGGCCCACCAAGGCGACGAUCGGUAGCCGGACUGAGAGGUUGAACGGCCACAUUGGGACUGAGACACGGCCCAGACUCCUACGGGAGGCAGCAGUGGGGAAUAUUGCACAAUGGGGGAAACCCUGAUGCAGCGACGCCGCGUGGAGGAAGAAGGUCUUCGGAUUGUAAACUCCUGUUGUUGGGGAAGAUAAUGACGGUACCCAACAAGGGAGUGACGGCUAACUACGUG